CAGACCUCCGCCCCCCCAGCCCCUCACUGCGGACGUCCCGGCGCGGGGUGACGGGCCCAGGAGCGGCCUUUGUGCAACGGGGAGCUCUGCUCUGCUGACUGGGCCUCGGUUUGUUUGUUUACUCGCUGCGUUGGCUCUUUGUUUAUUUGUUUGUUUGAGCUUCCGAAUGCCGAAAGCACUGCCUUGCUGCCUGUCAGGAGCUGAUCUGGUGCACUGCAAACGGGCACGGUGGUUCUGCAUUGCUGUGGUUUGUGUGCUAGUGUCCUUGGACACCAGGGUCAUAAAACCUCCUUUUUCAGUCAAGCAGCAAUAGCUCAUCUUCUAUUUAAAUCGCCGUGGUGUGCGGCCAAAUAUGAGCGAGUCUUUGUGUCUGCAUACUCAGGAGACAGGAUACACCUGUAUUCUUGUCUGUGCGCGGGUGGGAAGCCAGCUUAAAGCAAUGGGCCUUACAUGUAAAGCUCUAGCAUGGCACACAGCUGCUUUGCAGUGAGAAGCAGACAGCCGUGUGCAAGCUAAGAACAGCUAAGCCCAGACACUAACCAGCUACAACAGCACUAGCCGUGCUUUCAAGUGCUGUAGUCAAACUCAUCACCCUCCUGCUCCACUGCAACUGCACCCAGAUGCUAGAUAAUAAAUGGCACUGUACAUCUUGUCCGUGCUUGUGAUUUUAUCAUACACAGUGUUGAUUCAGCUGAAUGUGUUGAUGACACCUACUGAAACAACAAGGAGUAUUCUAAAGGUAGACAACACAGUGUGUGCUGCAGGAAGAAAAUUGGAGAUACAUUUCAGACAUAUUUGGCCUGCUCUUCCUUGCCAUAGCUUAACAUAAAAAACUGCUUUAACUUCAGGAGAGGACUUUUAUUCUGAUCAUAAUCGUUGACUAAGCGACUCCGCAGUCAGCAGAACCAGGCAUGAAAAAACAGAUCCUGCGCUAACCUCGUGACUCCUGAGGACUUUGUGUCCAAGAAUGGUGCACAGCUGCUGUUUUCCUGUCUCUGCUGGUAAUAUUUGCUUGGUGUGCAGUACUCAGGCCGGUACAGUCAUUUUUCUGCAAGCAUCUGAUUUAUCUCAAUAGGAAAUUUUUUUGCAAAUAAUAUAUCUACAUCCUUGUAAUAGUUCACCAGUAAUAAGUAUUAAACCUGAAAUAAUGUUCAGGUUAUUUCAGACACUAGAUGUCAAUGCUCAGUUUCUUUGUUAAGUAUUGAAAUUAAAAUAAAUAACUAAAUAAAUAAAGUGUUCUUAAAAAGAGAGCAAGUUUGUGGACCUUGAAAAGCAGACUGGAAAAGCAGAGAAACUCUCUCAUUCUCACCUUUUCAUUCUGUGCAUUAGCAGAAGCUGUUUUUAAUAACAGCAUAUAAAAAUGUUCUGGGACAACAAUAGUUUUUACAUGAGUGUGUGCCCUUAUGCAACAAAUAAAACUGUUACUACUCA